GAACUGUAAUCACAUUAUAUUAAUAAUUAAAUCAUUCUUUUUUAUUUUCAUUCUUGUCUAGAACGAACAGCAAGUUUUGAAUUGAUCGGGCUGGUCAUAGCGAUACUCUGCUUGGUGAUUUCUCUGAUUGGAAAUGUUUCUCUCAUUUGCUUCCAAACUCCGAGAGAAGAAAGUGAACAAUCUAAAGCUGCUGUCGUCCUGCAAUUAAACAGCGAGAGGGUGAAAAAUCAACAGAUUGAUGAGGAGACUAAAGUUUACUCUGCUGUGGUCUUCACCAUGAGGAAAGCUGACCGUGGUGCAGUGAAGGAUGCAAAAGUAGCGCAGAGGAAAAGGAUGUGUGCUGCUGUGAAGGAUUUUGGUUUGAAUUAGUGAGUGAAAAGGUCUGUUUGGCUACAUUUGAUUUAGCUGAUUUUAGUUUGUUUAAAGCUUAAGAAAAUGCUGAUUACCUCCAAAUAUCUACACUUAGAUAACUUAAGGAGGUGCUAUGAAUAUUCUAUCACUCAGGUUGUGACUGUAUUGGUAUGUGUAUGCAAAUGAUAUUCUAUAAUUCAUAAUAAAAUGUAUUUGUCAAACCUCCUUGGAUUAAAGGACUGUAACAUUCAGGCUUA